UACGGGGGGGGCAAGCGUUGUUCGGAAUUACUGGGCGUAAAGGGUUCGUAGGUGGCCUGCUAAGUCAGGCGUGAAAUCCCUCGGCUCAACCGGGGAACUGCGUCUGAGACUGGCGGGCUCGAGGACAGGAGAGGAACGCGGAAUUCCAGGUGUAGCGGUGAAAUGCGUAGAUAUCUGGAGGAACACCGGUGGCGAAGGCGGCGUUCUGGACUGUUUCUGACACUGAGGAACGAAAGCCAGGGGAGCAAACGGG
rnacentral:rRNA from 1 species